rnacentral:piRNA from 1 species
UAAGUCUUCAAAGAUUGACCUUACUUCCGUU